UCAAGAACAUUUGGCAAUGGGCGAAAGCCUGACCAUGCGACGCCGCGUGCUGGACGAAGUCCUUCGGGACGUAAACAGCUUUUAUGCGUGAGGAAGUAAUUGACGUUAGCGCAUGAAUAAGGGGCUCCUAACUCUGUGCCAGCAGGAGCGGUAAUACAGAGGCCCCAAGCAUUAUCCGGAAUCACUGGGCGUAAAGGGUGUGUAGGCGGCGCUGUUAGUCCUUUGUAAAAGCAUCCCGACUUAAUCGGGAUAAUGCGGAGGAAACGGCAGCGCUUGAGGACGCGAGAGGUAGAGGGAACUCAUGGUGUAGGGGUGAAAUCCGUUGAUAUCAUGGGGAACACCAAAUGCGAAGGCACUCUACUGGCGCGCUCCUGACGCUGAGACACGAAAGCGUGGGUAGCGAACGGGAUUAGAUACCCCCGUAGUCC
rnacentral:rRNA from 1 species